ACAAAAGACGGUUUUUGAAAAACAAGAUUUACUCAAGUCUCGAAGAAGAGGUUGGAAAUGCAAUACGCGUCUGUUUUCCCGAGGACGUAGGUACUUAUACAAUAUCAUGACAGCGAUAUUAUGAUAUGCAGAAAACGUACGGCGACAAACGUAGUUAUUCCGUCAAUUAAAUUCGUCCUGCUUGUUUGUCCGCGUGUUCACCGAAAACACAACAACGCGUGUAUAUUAUAUUUUAGUAUCCUCUCAAAGAAGAAAGGGGGUUCACUCGGACCAGCCCCAAGCCCUAUAUUGUAUUCUUACCUUCAUGUGGGUCCUUCAGUGACGGGGAUGAUUUCGACGUCGGCCGCGGUCGUCAUCGUCGUCGUCCUGCAUCAUCGCAGCAAUCGGCUGUCACGUCAUACAAGACUAUGACGUGAAUACCGGUAGGUAGGCGCGCACCACUGUGCUUGUCAAUAAACGGUUUUCUCGCGCACUUGUCAGAGCGAAAAACGAAAUGAAAAACAAAAAUAAAAACCGGAACACGCGGCACUACAAUCUCGUACGUGCGUAUGUAUAAUUAUAUAUUAAUAAAUCGGUCAGGCGUAAUAAAACUCGGAAAAACGUCGUCACUGAUGGGUAUUGGGCGGCGGCGGGUGCAACAGGGAUCGAGAGGAAAUGGGCGCGAAACACCAAAAUAUGGCGACGGUGGACCGGAACGAAGCGGAUGACUGAUACAACGCGAGAAGCUAAUGUUUCUGCGACCACGGCGAGCGGUCGUCUGGUGCGCGCAUCGAACUGGACGGACGGGCUCGGCGUUGCCCGACGACGAGGUGAUGGUGGUGGUGUUCAAUGAGGUGGCGGUGGCUGCGGUGGUUGUAGAGUAGGAGGAGGACGACGACGACUACAACUACUACGACCGGUACCAAACAAAACUGAAACCGAACAACUAUAAUAAUACGCGACGACUGUGCGUAUAUUAUACCCAUACGACUGACCGAUGGUCCCGUCAGUGGUGGUUAUGUCGCUGCUACAUCAGAGGUUCUCAGAAUGGAUUUAACUGUCGGACACUGUGCUCGGGAUACCGUCUCCUGCGGUAUGCCCUAGGUAUACUGCAAGUUUAUUUAAUUCAUAGCUCCAGUUGAACGAAUAUUUUCAACAAUUGGCUUCAUUCAUGCUCUGACCAGAAAACAGGAGCACAUCUAGACUAAAUUUACGGCAGGGAGGAGGUAAUACCAUGUGCGUAUCGUAUUUUAUCGGCUGCCAAAAACAGAAAUCCUAAAAUGUAUCUGUGUGGCAGAAUUUACGGAGUAGGGGAUGGCCCCUUAGCCACCCCCUUGGAUCCGCGCCUGCUAGAUAACAAUUUUCAGACUAUAAUUUUGAAAACUUAGUCUUUUUUAAUGAAAACCAUCCACCAAUUCAAAAGACU